rnacentral:rRNA from 1 species
UACGUAGGGGGCAAGCGUUGUCCGGAAUUACUGGGCGUAAAGAGCGCGUAGGCGGCGUCAUAAGUUCCGUGUGAAAGUCCCCGGCUCAACUGGGGAGGGACGCGGAAGACUGUGGAGCUGGAGUGUCGGAGAGGGAAGUGGAAGUCCCAGAGUAGGGGUGAAAUCCGUAGAGGCCGGGCCGAACACCAGUGGCGAAGGCGACUUCCUGGCCGACGACUGACGCUGAGGCGCGAAAGCGUGGGGAGCGAACGGG